rnacentral:rRNA from 1 species
UACGUAGGUCCCGAGCGUUGUCCAGAUUUAUUGGGCGUAAAGCGAGCGCAGGUGGUUUAUUAAGUCUGGUGUAAAAGGCAGUGGCUCAACCAUUGUAUGCAUUGGAAACUGGUAGACUUGAGUGCAGGAGAGGAGAGUGGAAUUCCAUGUGUAGCGGUGAAAUGCGUAGAUAUAUGGAGGAACACCGGUGGCGAAAGCGGCUCUCUGGCCUGUAACUGACACUAAGGCUCGAAAGCGUGGGGAGCAAACAGG